rnacentral:rRNA from 1 species
ACCCGUUGAUCCUGCGGGAGAUCGCUGCUAUUUGGGUUCGACUAAGCCAUGCAAGUCAGGGCUCGCAAGAGACCGGCGAAAUGCUCAGUAACACGUCGAUAAUCUGCCCUUAGGUCCGGGAUAACCUCGGGAAACUGAGGCUAAUACUGGAUAUGAAACUAUGUCUGGAAUGACUUUUUUUUCAAAGGCAACGCCUAAGGAUGAGACGGCGGCGGAUUAGGCUGUUGGUGAGGUAAUGGCUCACCAAACCUAAGAUCCGUACGGGCUCUGAAAGGAGUAGCCCGGAGAAGGGCACUGAGAUACUGGCCCUAGCCCUACGGGGUGCAGCAGGCGCGAAACCUUUACAAUGCACGCAAGUGUGAUAAGGGAACCCAAAGUGCUUAGCUUUGCUAGGCUUUUGCCAAGUGUAAAUAACUUGGAGAAUCAGUGGUGGGAAAGACUGGUGCCAGCCGCCGCGGUAACACCAGCGCCACGAGUGGGGAUCAUCAUUAUUUGGCCUAAAGCGUCCGUAGCUGGUUGAGUAAAUCCUUUGUGAAAUUGUUUUGCCUAACAAAACAGCGUGCAGGGGAGACUGCUCAGCUAGGGACCGGGAGGAGUCAGAGGUAUGCUGGGGGGAGCGGUAAAAUGCAAUAAUCCCCAGUAGACCGCCUGUGGCGAAGGCGUCUGACUAGAACGGGUCCGACAGUGAGGGACGAAAGCCAGGGGAGCAAACCGGAUUAGAUACCCGAGUAGUCCUGGCUGUAAACACUGCGAGCUAGGUGUUGCAUAUUCUCCGUGAAUAUGCAGUGUCGAAGAGAAGUCGUUAAGCUCGCCGCCUGGGAAGUACGGUCGCAAGACUGAAACUUAAAGGAAUUGGCGGGGGAGCACUACAAGGGGUGCGGCGUGCGGUUUAAUCUAACUCCACACAGAAAAUCUCACCAGAAGCGACGGCAGGAUGAAGGUCAGUCUAAAGGGCUUACCUGACGAGCCGAGAGGUAGUGCAUGGCCGCCGUCAGCUCGUGCCGUAAGGUGUCCUGUUAAUGUUCAGAAAUCUUUGAUUUCUGACAGCAGUGAGUCAGGCAACGGGCGAGACCUGUAUCCACAAUUGCUAACGACUCAUUUUGAGAAUCGAGCACAUUGUGGGGACUGCCUUGGAAACAAGGAGGAAGGUGCAGGCUACGGUAGGUCUGUAUGCUCCGAAUCUUCUGGGCUACACGCGCGCAACAAUGGUGCAGACAAUGGGCUGCAACUCCGAAAGGAGAAGCUAAACCUCGAAACUGCAUCUAGGUUCAGAUUGAGGGUUGUAACUCACCCUCAUGACGCUGGAAUCCCUAGUAAUCGAACGUCAUCAGCGUUCGGUGAAUAUGUCCCUGCUCCUUGCACACACCGCCCGUCAAACCACCCGAGUAGGGUCUAGAUGAGGCUUGGUUUUUAACUAGGUCGAAUCUAAGCUUUGCGAGGAGGGUUAAGUCGUCACAAGGUA